UAAUACGUAGGGGGCGAGCGUUGUCCGGAGUUACUGGGCGUAAAGCGCAUGCAGGCGGUUCUCUACGUUCUUGGGAACAGCUCCCGGCUCAACUGGGAGAGACUCUGGAAAACGGGAGGACUUGAGGGCUCAAGAGGGACAUGGAAUUCCGGGUGUAGUGGUGAAAUGCGUAGAUAUCCGGAGGAACACCAAAGGCGAAGGCAGUGUCCUGGGGAGCACCUGACGCUCAGAUGCGAAAGCCAGGGGAGCGAACGGG
rnacentral:rRNA from 1 species